ACAUGUUUACGACAUAGCGUUAAUGCACUGGAUCCCAUUAGAAAUCUGCAAUUAAGCAUGCUCAGGCUAGAGUAGUAUUGGGAUGGGUGACCACCUGGGAAGUCCUAGUGUUUUACAUGCC
rnacentral:rRNA from 1 species